AUUCAGCUGACGAGUCCCAAAUAAGGCGAAUAGGCGUUCUGAAU
rnacentral:hammerhead_ribozyme from 1 species